rnacentral:ncRNA from 1 species
GUAUUCAAAGGGUAAUAGGGAAAUCGGUUAGAAUCCGAUGCAGCCCCCGCUACUGUAAGCAUGAUUCGUAUUGCUCGAUAUGCCACUGAACAAAUGUUUGGGAAGGCUUGAGAGAAAUAAUGCUAAGCCAGGAAACCUGCUCAUUAAGAU